AAGAAUGAGGGUCCCUCUCUUUACUUUAUGGACUAUUUGGCCUCAAUGAACAAGUGUCCCUUUGCCGCUCAUGGUUAUGGAGCAUUUUUCUCCCUUGCUAUUUUGGACAGAUACUACACAGAAGAUGUCACAAGAGCACGAGCAGUAGAAUUGUUAACCAUGUGUGUUGAAGAGAUUAAAAGAAGAUUUAUUAUAAAUCUCCCAGCCUUCAGAGUGCGAAUUGUUGAUAAAGAUGGAAUACAUGAGCUACCCACAAUUAAACCUCAGGUGUCCGUCCGCAGCAUUGCCAGUGAAUCACUAUAGUAAAGAAAAGUCAUCCAAUGUAUAGUGCUACACAUUGACUUUACAUAUUUGAUAAUGCCAUUUUUUUGUUACAUGAAUAUUGUAAUAUUAAAAAUCUCUCAUUGU
rnacentral:misc_RNA from 1 species